rnacentral:rRNA from 1 species
UAGCAUAUCAAUAAGCGGAGGAAAAGAAACUAACAAGGAUUCCCCUAGUAACUGCGAGUGAAGCGGGAAGAGCUCAAAUUUGAAAUCUGGCGGUUCUUGAACUGUCCGAGUUGUAAUCUAGAGAAGUGUUACCUGUGCUGGACCGUGUACAAGUCUCCUGGAAUGGAGCAUCACAGAGGGUGAGAAUCCCGUCUUUGACACGGACUACCUGUGCGAUAUGGUGCGCUCUCGAAGAGUCGAGUUGUUUGGGAAUGCAGCUCAAAAUGGGUGGUAAAUGCCAUCUAAAGCUAAAUAUUGGCGAGAGACCGAUAGCGAACAAGUACCGUGAGGGAAAGAUGAAAAGAACUUUGGAAAGAGAGUUAAACAGUACGUGAAAUUGCUGAAAGGGAAACGCUUGAAGUCAGUCACGUCGGCUAGAAAUCAACCUGCUUUUGCUUGGUGUACUUUCUGGUUGAUGGGUCAGCAUCAAUUUUGACCAUCGGAUAAAGUCAUUGGGAAUGUGGCAUCUUCGGAUGUGUUAUAGCCCGUUGUCGCAUACGUUGGUUGGGAUUGAGGAACUCAGCACGCCGCAAGGCCGGGGGUCUUUCCCUACGUUCGUGCUUAGGAUGCUGGCAUAAUGGCUUUAAUCGACCCGUCUUGAAACACGGACCAAGGAGUCUAACAUGCCUGCGAGUGUUUGGGUGGAAAACCCAUGCGCGCAAUGAAAGUGAAAGUUGAGAUCCCUUUCUGGGGAGCAUUGACGCCCGGACCAGAGCUUUUGUGACGGAUCCGCGGUAGAGCAUGUAUGUUGGGACCCGAAAGAUGGUGAACUAUGCCUGAAUAGGGUGAAGCCAGAGGAAACUCUGGUGGAGGCUCGUAGCGAUUCUGACGUGCAAAUCGAUCGUCAAAUUUGGGUA